CCUACGGGUGGCAGCAGUGAGGAAUAUUGGUCAAUGGGCGUAAGCCUGAACCAGCCAAGUCGCGUGAGGGAUGAAGGUUCUAUGGAUCGUAAACCUCUUUUAUAAGGGAAUAAAGUGUGGGACGUGUCCUGUUUUGUAUGUACCUUCUGAAUAAGGAUCGGCUAACUCCGUGCCAGCAGCCUCGGUAAUACGGAGGAUCCGAGCGUUAUCCGGAUUUAUUGGGUUUAAAGGGUGCGUAGGCGGCCUUUUAAGUCAGCGGUGAAAGUCUGUGGCGCAACCAUAGAAUUGCGGUUGAAACUGGGAGGCUGGAGUAUGUGUGAGGCAGGCGGAAUGCGUGGUGUAGCGGUGAAAUGCGUAGAUAUCACGCAGAACCCCGACGGCGAAGGCAGCCUGCCAAGCCAUGACUGACGCUGAUGCACGAAAGCGUGGGGAUCAAACAGGAUUAGAUACCCCUGUAGUC
rnacentral:rRNA from 1 species